rnacentral:rRNA from 1 species
GAUGAACGCUAGCGGCAGGCCUAACACAUGCAAGUCGAGGGGUAGAACACUUCGGUGUUUGAGACCGGCGCACGGGUGCGUAACGCGUAUGCAAUCUACCUUGUACAGGGGAAUAGCCCAGAGAAAUUUGGAUUAAUGCCCCAUAGUAUAUAACCUUCGCAUGUUGGUUAUAUUAAAGUUCCAACGGUACAAGAUGAGCAUGCGUCCCAUUAGUUAGUUGGUAAGGUAACGGCUUACCAAGACGAUGAUGGGUAGGGGUCCUGAGAGGGAGAUCCCCCACACUGGUACUGAGACACGGACCAGACUCCGACGGGAGGCAGCAGUGAGGAAUAUUGAUCAAUGGGCGCAAGCCUGAACCAGCCAUGCCGCGUGCAGGAAGACGGUCCUAUGGAUUGUAAACCGCUUUUAUACAGGAAGAAACCCUCCCACGUGUGGGAGAUUGACGGUACUGUAGGAAUAAGGAUCGGCUAACUCCGUGCCAGCAGCCGCCGUAACAC